rnacentral:tRNA from 1 species
GCGAGGGUGGCGGAAUUGGUAGACGCGCUAGCUUCAGGUGUUAGUGUCCCAACGGACGUGGGGGUUCAAGUCCCCCCCUUCGCACCA